GGCCUAGUGGCGAAGUGGGAACGCUGUGGUCUGCAAAACUACCAUGAGUCGGUUCGAUUCCGACCUAGGCCU
rnacentral:tRNA from 1 species